GAUCAUAAUAUUGAAGUUUCCGCGGCGAAUGAACUGAUGUAACACCAAACGCAUCAAUCUUCAUUCCUCUAUCUGGGGUGGUGUCAUACCAAUCACAAUAGAAUACUACACAACGCAAUCCAACCAUUCCAGGAAAUUGGAUUUCCAAUAUUUCUUUUAUGUUGCCGUAGUAGACAUCGUCACCGGAAGAAGAUGAAACACCAGCAUCAUAUGUUGUCUUAGAAUGACCUUUCCUUGUGAAUGCAUAUCCUCGCGUACAAAAUUUAGGAUAUGAUUUGACCACAUAGUUUGGUUCCUGCACA
rnacentral:lncRNA from 1 species